ensembl:lncRNA
CUAAAGAGCCCUGGUUUUCUUUAGUAGGGAGCAGUAUUGCAGAGCAGGAUCUGCUUGCUAGCGUGUGCACUGCAACUUGCCUCUGGAUUUAUCUACUAUAUCCUUUCAAACUAUUACUCUUCUGGGCAUUUGGUGGGACGACUGUGUACCUAUGGCCAUAGUGACGGAUGUUGCCAUUGCUCUCAACUUAUUUCUAUUCCAAGAAAGUCUCAGCGACUGCUCUGGUACACACUCCUUGAGUACCUGGAGCUGACUAGAAGUGGGAUUUCUUGGUUAUGAGUGUGAACAGUGCAAAGUCUGCUCAUCUUCACUGCGUGGAGGCAGCUGUGUUAAGUGUGUAGCUGUGAAGUUGGCCCUCCUAGGGUGGGAAGGCAUUUGGAAAGUAGGGGACUUCUUGGGGAAAGAACACUCUCUGGUUGUUUUGACGCAGUCUUAGGAGAGAGAAAAGGUACCAAAAGCCGAGAGCCAAGGUCAUCUUCUAUCUAUGAGCUUCAAAGGUCGGAGUGUUCUGGAGAAAGUAAACUCACCUCAUACCUGCGUAGGAUGUUCCGAAGGCUGUGCGUUCCUUGCCAGCAUGGCCUCAGCAGCAGCUUUGUAGUGUGUUGGGAUGAGCACUGGGCUGGACAGAUCUGGACAAUGUUGAAUCCUUGGCUGGGAGAUCAGCACAUUUUUUAAGAGCUGACAGCCACCCCUGCACGCUGCAGUGUAGAAUUAAUGAAGACACAAGUAUAAGGAAGCCUCUAAUUGAAUGCAGCAUAGAGCAAGCAGAGUCGAACACACAGCAUUCCCAGCUGAAAUCCCACGUGUUGGCUUCUAACCCUCCUGGACGGCCGGCACAAGAAAAUAUUUCUGGGCUGUGUCUCGGGCAGCCUGUUCUAUCCGCGUGGCCAAAAGAGAACAAGCAUGGCCUGUCUCCUGGAUAGAGGCACUGGGUUAUCUGGAAUCCAAGAUUGCCUUUGGUAAAGCUCUUGUUGGGUUGGCUAAAAGGCAUGGCAUAGGAGAGAAAAGAAAGAACCCCAAGAAACAGAGGUGUUUGGGCAGGAGCCCUCUGCUAUAGUUCAUGUCUGUUACCAGUUCGUGUGUGACAGCUCUGGUUGGCUGGAGGUGGACAGCCCUUCUCCAUCACUCCGGGCAAGCUCCAUCAAUCCCCUGCUUGGUCUUGUACAUCCCUCGAUAUGCAGAUUCCCAUGUGAGGCAGAAUGGGAACACAUCUUCCUUUCAGAAUUCCUGGUUGGUGAUUCAUAGCAUGGUUAUCCAGCUGCUUUGUCUCCUGGGGCCAUCCCUGGGGAUGAUCCCCCCGCCCCCCCGCCCUACCACCAUGUUUGGUCCUUGCUGCUGUGUGACUUUCUGGUGGGGGGUGGGGUGGAAAUUGCUGAGUGGCCUACAACAGAUCUGAACCUGAGAUGACCAAAGGAAUCCUGGGUAUGUGCAUCACUGGGCCCCUUCAGCCAGCUGCUGCUGGAGCUGUUGAGUGCAGGCUGGCUUGACUCGGAUCCCCUGGGGUCAUUUCCACACAUUUCACAUGCCUUGUGUUUCCUGUGUCACCAAACCAUGCUAUUUAGUUGUAAAGGGUCUCCUCUGGCAGGUCAAGGCUGUGGACACCUCCUUUCAAAUCCCAGGUGCUGUGUUGGCUUGUGGAGACCCUGGCAGAUUUGUGCAGUGACCCUGACUCCUCAUGCCCCAUCCUUUUGGUUAAAGGCAUGCAGCUGCAUUGCUGCUUAAUGUGUGGGCAGUGCUCUACCGGCAGGAGGUAGUGGCACGGCUCAGAGAACGGGGCCAUGUGUACAGCCUAGCUCUGCCCUCAGCACCAGAGCUGCAGGGAAGUCCCUGGGUGUCUGCAGAGCAGGUGGCCUCCGUCUGAACACCCAGCUCUGUCAGCUGUUGAGAGCCCUAGUUGGAAGAAGCAUUCCAGGGACAUUCCUUCUGUCUGGAGCAGGGACUUGGCUUGAACCUUGAACCAAAAAAACCAGAACAAGCUGCACCAGUUUGCUCCACCUCAAAACAAAUGCUUUUUUUUUUUCCUUCCUUAAUAGCACUGAGAACAAAACCCAAGUUCUGGGGUUGGCGUGCUUUGUUUUCCCACUGGGGAACAGUUAGGAAACAAGACUAAACUGGUUCUUCUGACUGACUGAGAGGGGAGGAAGAGGGCCUCUGCACGGGCCUUGGGUUUACUCAGUUAGCUCCCAUGCAGGUUGAUACUAGAAGAUAUGGCAAGGUCUGUGGAGAUUGUAUGAGGGUAUCUGCAGGCUGGAGAGGCUGAGGAGGCUGAGGCUCUGACCUGGGCAACCUGUAUGGGGGAAGAAAUGUGUGGAGUUUGAAGCCUCCUGGCAGCCACAGGGAAGGGUGCAGAAGCCCCCAGAGCAAACUGGCCCAGGAAAUACCCUUCUUUUUGAAGAAAAGUAGUUGCUUCUUCUGUGUCACGUGACCCUUUCACCCUGACAUGCACAAUGCUACCUACCUAAGUGAACACCUUCUCACAGUGCCACUCCUGACUGGAGGGGCUUUUACCACUCUGUGUAUUCAUUUCGUUCAUGUCACUUGUUUUUCUGUCUGCUUAGGAGCUGUAUCUGAAUCUACUGAUAUUUUAGCUACUGUCUUUUCCUCAUGGCCUGAAGUCAGCACCCUGCUACCCAGACCGUGGCCUGGCAGGAUUUCUGUCCUGUUGGCACCAGCUGACCAACAAAUGUUGUCUUCAUCUAAGUUGUUCUGUUUACCAAUAAACUCAGGAGUCAGAUGUUGGGGUGGAAACCUGCUAGAUCAGAGGAGCCAAGAAGCAACCAGCUCACCUUCCUUUUCGGCCAGAGGCGAAGCAAGAAAAGUGUCUCUACUUAUCCCAAACCAAAAAGUCCUCGAAUCUCUAAGUCCCUUCCUCUCAUUCCUGUGUCUCUCUAUCCAUAUUGCUGGGUCCUCCAUACUCUCUAUGGCUCAUUCUUGUCAACUAGUCACUGGCUCUACCCACUGAUCCAAGGUUAAUUUUAUUAACAAUCGGCCUUGGACUUUCACUGUACAGUCGAAUAUCCAAAAACACACUGUGAUUAGAAAUAUCCAAUAGGGGCUGAGGGAUAGCUCAGCAGUAAAGGGCUAGGCUCACAACCUACCAGCCAUGCCCCACCUUCUAAAGGUCCCAUAGUCUUCAAAAUGGUACCGCAAGCCAAGCAAGGUACAUUACUCUCUGAGAGGAUGUUCCCUAGAAAUACUGUCAGAUUCUUCUAGAAGUUUGAGUCUGGAGACUGUGACUGAAUUUGUUUCCUGACCUCCUCACUCCCUCUGGAUUUACCAGGUAACCUGGGAUCUGAACCAGUCCAUCCAACACAUAACUACAGCUGAGGCUGCCAUAGGAACAUAUGUUUGCUUCCUGUCACAUUUAACCAAAGCUUGUCCACAUAAAGUGUUUCCUGGCUCUGUUACCCUGUACAGGUUGCUUAACUUCUCUGAGUCCUAAUACCUCUCUGUAUCAAAUGAAGCUAAUGCUAUCCUUCAGAAAGGUCCAUGGGAAUGAAUGUGCUAUGGUACCUCAACACUCAUGACCUCACUUGGUCCAGGGUCCCUUUCCUUCACGUGAAGAUAGCAACUGCAUGAUGGGUAGGAGGGAGCUAGUGUCACAAGACAUAUUUGGCUGAUUUCAUUCGGGGUUCUAUAAAAAGGUUAAAUUUAGUUCAGAUGUAAAUUUAGCAAAUAGGUGUGAUUUGGGGUCUUAUCCCAUCCCCCUUUCUGUUUAUGGCUUGGUUCAGUCUCUGUUGCCCAAAGCAAUCAUCCACAUAGCACUAAUUAAGACAUCUGUGGAGCUCCCAAAAGUGAAAUUCCAAAACCCAGAUGCCUGCCAAAGCUUACUGGAAUUUAUCACAUUUUUUUUACAUGCUUGGUACCACCCAGUACAGCACUAGCCCUUUAUGGCAGUGGGCAGCCUGAUCAUGGAGUGCUCUGCCAGUGGCAUUCCCAGUGCCAUGCUACUAACUCUGAGCCUUUCCCCAGUUUCUUGGUCCCUAAGGAGGAAAAUAAACCUGAUUUAAUCAUUUUUGCUACGAGGAAAGGGCUUAGGAAAAAUAAAGUUGAGGUAGAUGGAUGCACCUGCCGUGGUCUUAUGAAGGCUGAAAUCUGUCUCUUCAAGUCAGACCCUGGAUCUCGGCUCCUCACUCUGUCUUUGUCUGUUCUGGAGCCACUGUCCUUCCUAACAGUUCUGUAAGAAGCCUCCUCUGUAGCUCAUGUUCUAUACCUUCUUCUCCUCCCACACACUUCCCAGGACAACCUGAUGCAGACUGGGGUAUGAAAGGGAAAGGAGAAAGUGCAUAGUCACAGAUGAAAAGUGAUGGAUGAGAGCAAGUGAGGCAGUGGACACAAAGCACGAGAAAGAUGUCGUAGAGAGAUAUCCACCCUGCCCACACCUGUGGUGCUGACCAUGUCUGUUUGAGCGUGGUCACAGGUUCAGACGUGACGGACGGUGGUUUUAGGUCUGGGGUCGGGGACAAGCUGCUCUCUCUUCCUUCCAGUAGGGUCACAGAGAGCAGCCUGGGUGAAUCCUUGGAGUGGGAACUUGCAUCCAUGCAUCCAUAUCUGGCACCCAACGUGUGGCUCGAACCCACAACCCUGGGAUUAAAAGUCCCAAGCUCUCCCGAUUGAGCUAGCUGGGCUGUUACUAUUUGACCCGUGACACCUCCAGGCUCGAAUCUUUUCAAGACUGAAGCCUGGUUGACAGAGGUAUGUCAGUAGAUGGUUAGCCUAUGAAGGUCAGACCUGCUUCUCUGUUUCACUGGCUUGCUAGCUCUACUUCCUGGUCAGUUGACAUUCUAGCAAGCCUCUGUCACAUGUGUCUGCCGUCCCACCAAGGUGAACAAAAAGCUUUCUGAAACCGUGGGUCCGAAUGCCUAUGUCCUCCCUUCAAUUGUCUCUGUCAGGUAUUUUGUGGCCUUGAUGAGAAAAGUAACUACUCCAUAUUUAGAGGCUUCAGGGGAUUCUGGGAUGUUUUAUAUCAAAUCUUCGUAACAAAAUGAUGUGUGGUGCCUAUGUCAUAAGAAUCAGGUACUUGAGAGGUUGCAGGAUAUGUGUGUUUAUAAGUUUGAAAUAUCUUAUUGAAAAGCUUUAUUUUGAAAUGACUUUGGGAAGAGGAAGAGGUUGAACUUUAAAAAAAAUUGUGUCAUAUCUUUGCUAGCACAGGCAGCUUGCUCUAUGUCAUGGGAAUAUUGAAAUAUACCCUUGAUUUGAGUGGCCGAAUGACUGAGUACACCACUGAGAUAAAAUUUGAAAUCACUCCCCCACCCAUAAGCAAAUUAUACCUUUAACCCAUGGACAUAUUGCAACAAGUGAAACCCAGCUGCCUGCCAGAGCAUUCUGGAAUGUGAAGUGUUAGACCCUGGUCAAAGUUUCAGGACACUUGCACUUCUUUUGGGGUGAUAGUUUUUAUUAAUUCCUUCCAGAUUACUUUUCAAGCUUGUCCCCAGGGGAGAAGAGUAUUUGUGUAGUUGCUGCCCACAUGCCAACUCUCCUUUGUGAUCCAUAACAACGUAAAGCUUGUUGGAUUGUCUCCCAGGUUCUAGAAGGAUGCCAUGUCACGAGUGGCCCUUCACAAUUAGCCUUGUUUGUGGGGACCAUGUAAGUGUUCUCAGACCCUGAUCUCAGGGUCCUCCAUGGAUUUCUGAUGAUGGUCUGUGGGCACCAGGGAGGGGCAGGGUAGUGAGUUCAUGUCCAGUGGCAUAGGGAAGCUCUAAUUCAUAUCCAAGGUGGUCAAGGACUAAGGGAGCACUAUUUAUGGAGCCUUGAACCCCUUCAUUAUGAGACAGUGCCAUUCAGAUGUCUUUUUUGGGUGUGUGUUGAGGUAUGUAAUUAGCCUGCCCUUGGCUUUGAGCUUUCAGAACACGGAGAGGCUCACACACGAGGAUCUCACACAUCUAGCUACACUGUCUGAUUCUGGGAAAAGUGACAGGGUGACCUUAGCUAGUCUUCCCAGACUUGACCCAGACAAAACCAAGGGGUCUGAGUCCGGGUGAAACUCAGAAGCCAGGGAUAGACAUCUUGGAAGGACUUUUUUCAGUCUUCUCUGUGUGGUGAUGUACUACACCAAAUGUUACUGAGUAAAUGGAAGAGCUCUCUGUGGUUAAAGCUGCAAUGGUCAGGACAACAAAACAAAACAGUCAAUUCUGUAUGGCUCAGAGUACAGAAGGGAUAUUCACAAGUUCACACAGAUGCAAAUAAAUGAUCAAUAAAUUAAUACGUGGAAAGAAGAGGCCAAUCUCCUAAAGAGAAAAAUUCCAAGAAUUCGUGUUGAUAACUACUUUAAAAUGGAUGGAAUAUAACUCCUUGUUCCUCAGAUGUAAGUUACAGGCUUAGGUGACUUCAUGGUGGUAUGAAUGUCACAUUGCAUGCUUGUACAAAACCUAGGUGGUCUAGCCUACAACAGACAACAUGUCCAGGCUACAAAGUAUACACCAUUGUAUGGGUAGGUUAUUGACUGAAUGCUAUUGUGUAACAUGUGACAAACCUUUCCACACAUUCUUGAAUGAAUUCACAUAUUUCCUCAGAUGCUUCACACAGGUUCUGGGACAUUAACUUUCAAAACCUUUUUGGUAGCCUCUGUAUGAGGAAGAUCCUGGCCAUGAGUCUUCUUUAGGUUAGGGUCACUUGAAAUGCAUGGUACCCAGGACCACAGGGUACCAUAUAGCUAUGCUGUCUGAAGUGGUGGCCCUAUGAAAACACUGAGAAUUUGGUGCUGACAGCAGAGAAAACACAUCACAUGUUAGAGCCUUAGUGUUAGUCCCUGCUAGUCAUUUUAUGCUGCUAGUGUUGAAUGGAUACUGUUUGAAUAUACUGGGUUAAAUAGAUUGUCAAGCUUAAAUCUUCCUACUUAUUUUUCUUCUUCUUUCUUCUCUUCCUCCUUCUCCUCUCACUUUCUGGGUUUAUUGAGACAGGAUCUCUUGUAGCCUGGGAUGGCCUCAAACUCAUUAUAUAGCUGAGGAUAACGAGUUCCUGAGCCGAAUUGCCUAGUUUAUGUGGUGCUGGACACCAACCCCAGGCUUUGAGGAUGCAAGAGCACAUAUGUCUUUCUAUUACAAAUACAGCUAAGGGGUGGGGUCAUAGUCCAGUAGUAGAAUGAUUCCCCUGUAUGUCUGAAGCCCUAGGUUCAAUUACAAGUACUACAAAAACACAGUAAAUGAUUCGGGAUGCAACGAAAGCAAUCCUGAAAGAUAAUUUUAUAGCUACAUUAAAAUAAUCAGAAAGCUGCCAAAUAAAUAACUUGACAGUGUAAUUUAGAGUCUUGUGAUAAUGUGAGCAAGCCAAACUAAAAGACAAUGAGUGGAAAGAACCAAGGCAGGGCAAGAAUUAAUGAAAUAAAAACAAAAAACAAUACAAAGAGUCAAUGAAACAAAAUAGUUGGUUCUUUGACACAGUAAGCAAAAUUGACAAAACUUUAGUGAAAUGAACCAAAAGAAAGUGAAGACCCAAAUUAAUAAAAUUAGAGGUGAAAAAAUGAGACAUCAAUGAAAUUCAGAAAAUUAUUAGGAUUUCUUUGUAACUAAAACUAGAUGAAGACACAAGAAAUAAAUUACAGAUUUAUAUCUUUGAUGAGAAUAGGUGUAAAUUUUCCCAAUAAAA